UACGAAGGGGGCUAGCGUUGCUCGGAAUUACUGGGCGUAAAGGGCGCGUAGGCGGAUAGUUUAGUCAGAGGUGAAAGCCCAGGGCUCAACCUUGGAAUUGCCUUUGAUACUGGCUAUCUUGAGUUCGGGAGAGGUGAGUGGAAUGCCGAGUGUAGAGGUGAAAUUCGUAGAUAUUCGGCGGAACACCAGUGGCGAAGGCGACUCACUGGCCCGAUACUGACGCUGAUGCGCGAAAGCGUGGGGAGCAAACAGG
rnacentral:rRNA from 1 species